AGCAGGGGGACACGUGGUCUGGCACUGCCCAUCAGUCUCUCUUCAGCCCCAGCGAGAAGAUGACAUCUUGGGAGAAGUUUAUGUUCCUCCUGGCAGCUCUGCCAUGUGCCUGGUCCCAGGUGCAGCUGGUGGAGUCCGGAGGGGGAGUUCAGAAGCCCGGGGGGUCUCUGCGCCUCUCCUGCAAAGCCUCGGGAUUCACCUUCAGCAACUUCUACAUGGACUGGGCUCGCCAGGCUCCUGGGAAGGGCCUGGAGUGGGUUGCAGUGAUUCGCAACCCAAGUAAUGGUCUCACAGCAGAGUACAACAGCGCUGUUAAGGGACGAUUCACCAUCUCCAGGGUGGAGUCCAGCAGCACUGUAUACCUGCAGAUGGAUAGCCUGAAAGUCGAGGACACAGCUCAGUAUUACUGUGCCAGACACACAGUGAUUUCAAACCUCCUGGGCUUCAUACAAAAACCUUGCACAGCUGUGGGCUGUUCAGGCCAGCAGAGAGCAGCAGACACUAUCUUACCAACACUAACAGGCUGA